CACGUAGGGGGCGAGCGUUGUCCGGAUUUAUUGGGCGUAAAGAGCUCGUAGGUGGCUUAGUAAGUCGGGUUGUGAAACCUCCAGGCUCAACCUGGGAGACGCCACCCGAUACUGCUAUAGCUUGAGUCCGGUAGGGGAGCGUGGAAUUCCUGGGUGUAGCGGUUGAAAUGCGCAGAUAAUCAGGAGGAACACCGGUGGCGAAGGCGGGUCUCUGGGCCGAUGACUGACGCUGAGGAGCGAAGCGUGGGGAG
rnacentral:rRNA from 1 species